UCACAUCCGCGUCGAAGAUUUCGCGCAGCUGCUGUUUGUAGCUGUCGGAUAUGGGGAAGCCUACCUGCGCUAGGACCAUGUUGGCCACAUCCAGAGUGACGUUGGGCGAGGUUGAGAGUUCCAGGAGGUUCUUGUACGCCGCGAGCACUCUGUCCCGGCCGGUGAGGCCGAGAGCCGUGUGGCCGAACACCGAAUCCAGCUCGGCCUCGGAGUUUCCCCUGGCGCCAACGUAGGCCAUGCCGAACGCGGCGGCAAUGCUAGUCGGCGAGAAGAAGAUAUUUGACGAGGGCUCCUGGGCUGCGAGGUACUUCAGCAGGUUCACGCCAAACUGGUUGUGGGCUCUGGCGAGCAGCGUGUUGUCGUCGGUCUCGCAGUGGGCCACAGCGAGAACCGACACGAGAAGGACAAAUUUGGCAAGCAUCCCGAGAGUUU